UACAUAUUACAUUCAAGGAUAAAAAACUUUUAGAGGAUUAAGAUUGAGGACCUAUCACGACAAAGUUUGAUUUAUUGAUGAAAGUAUUUACCAUGUUCUCAUGAUAUUAACGAAUUUCGCUUUAUUGGUGGAACAAAUUAUUCAUUUGGUUAAGAAAGACACUACAUCGUUUGAGAUUACAUAUAAUGAAUAAUGUGCAAGAAUUGACUAAAAAAGUGGAUAGACAUAAGUCCCUUAAAUUUUUUUAAGUGGAAACUUUAAUGGGAAUAUUUUACAUCUUCAUAACAGAUAUUAUUUUUAUAAUCCCAAGAUUAUUCUUUAAUCUCUUAUAACUCAACAUUAAGAAGAUAAUAUUAAAUUUCUUGAAUAUACAAUCAAAGCUUUGUCAUUGUUCGCUGCUUAUUUGUUAUUUACAUUUUCGGUUUUAUAUAAUUGAUAACUAAACUUCACUCUCUGAUACAAAAAUUAUGGUUACCAUAAACGGAUGUAGAAUUAUAUAAGUUUCAUAUGUGAUAAUUUUACAAUUGUCAUCAUUCAUAAAUAAAGUCUUAAGGAAAUUUGGAAUAUUGGUCAUAACAAGUUGACAAACGAUAAUCAGCGCAUGUACGAGUAUUAUGUGACAUUCGCGUAUUUAAUAAUCGCGUGUACCAAUACAGCGCGUUGAAUAACUGGAACUGAUAUCGUACGUGACGGCAAUUAUUAACUUUAUUCGUAACAAACAAAUGUAUGUUGCAUACGACCUCCUGGCAAAUUUGUUUAUUUUCGUUGUUACAACUUUACUCGAUACUGCGGAGUCACUGUCUUUUGUUUCAAAUCGUACAACUACAGAUACAAAGAAAAUACGGAAACUGUUUUUCCGUUUAAAUAAUGAGUUUGUAAUUCUAGACUCAAUGCUUAGAAAAAUGUAUUGCAAAAAUGUAAACGUAUGUGAACUUCUGACACGUUACCAGAAAAAAAGUAUACAACAAAUUCGUUUAAUUUUUUAAAGCAAUCGAAAACAAAGUACCUGUAUUGAAUUCCAUAGUCCCCUAGGGUAUGGACUCUAAAUGCUUUUGAAAAAUUUUUUUCUAUCUUGUAUAACAAGCUCUCUAAACUCUGGCAUGUUUGUGACAUUGUACUUUGUAUAAAUUUAUUUUCGCGUAAAUCCGCGAAACAAUUUUUAACCCUGCCAUUAUUUUCAAAAUAGCUGCUCGCAUACAUUUUGCUAAAAGCAAAAAAAAGAUCCAUUUACAUGUUGGCAAACGACAUUUGUUAUUAAAAGCAUGCGAUUCUUCGAUCGAUAUUUCAUAUAAUGUGCACACUCCUUAUGUUCAAAGGAAUGCUAACAAUUAUUCAACAAAUGUUAGAACGAUUUACUGCGUUAUAAUAUCACAAAUUAAUCGGUCUCGUUAUUAUGAUAAUUAAUAGUUCCACAUAUAAAAACUUUUUGCGCGUAGCAUUUCCUUCUAUUCAUUGAAUAAUACUUUUAUCUCAAGUUUAACAUUCCAAUAAAAUUAUAUUAAAAGUAAUGUUCUAUUUUUUUUUAGAAGACAAAAGAGAGAUAAAACAAAUGACAGAUAAUAAUUUCAGAAAUAUUAUCUUAAACAAAACAAGAAAUUCUAAGAAAUUCCAAUAUUCUUGUAUCAAAAUGCAUCACUACUUUUCACUCCUGCGAUCAAUUUAUUUAUUAUAUAAUCCUGCAAAUUGUUUAAUGCUGCAAAUGCGAUAUGUACAAAUAUUUAGUGCUGCAUCCGCGAUUUGACCUAUGAGCAAGAGAUUCGGUUUUCAGCUCAAUUUUGUUUAUAUAUUGACGUAAAACAACUGAAAAAGACUAACAUUCUAUUCUAAAAGUCAAAACAUCCUAUUUUAAAAAUACUUAGCAUAAUUACAAUAAUAAAAUUUCAUCUUAAUUUAUGAUCGUUUUAUUGGCCUAUAUUCUUAUUUAUUUUUGCUUAAUUGUUAAGACUUUAGUAUUGAUACAACAAAAGUGUGUAAUAUUAAAAAUAAAAAACCGGAAUUUAACUUUUAUUAUGUCUGAUAGAAUUAGAAUUUU